rnacentral:lncRNA from 1 species
CUACAGUAUAAUAAUAUCAAGUACAUUAUUAGUAUACUUUCACACUGGAGAACUCUAACCUCGUUACGCCCAUGGGUUACCCAGCCGGGAGGACUCUGAGGCAGACUUAAGGUACAGCUUUGUCUCUGAGCCCCGAUCCUGCAGCUCACAGCCAGGAGAAGAGGCCUGGCUUGAGCAGCGCUCCCCACUCGGACUGGCGGGUACGGCUACGUGGAACUGUUCUCAUGGAGGAAGUUGCAGGAUGAGGUGUGGUAGCAUGGAGUUCACGUCUCGCACAUUCGAUUAGGAUAGAACCAUGAGAAGGUGCCACAGCGACGCCGCCGAUGUCAUCAUCCAAAAAGUUGUGCUCGCUGUCUGACCACAUUUCCUCAGCUUUUUCUUCAGAGUCAGUCGGUUGUCCCAGUGCACUGUUUUGCUUUUCGUCAGUGCAGUCAAAAUCACACAUCUGUUCUCGAUGGGAGCUACCCUUUUCCACCGGGCAUCUGUGGGAACAGUCGGCUUCAUUUCCAACUGCGUCCUUUGCUGGAGAGCUUAACGGUACCGACAAAUCGCAAGAGCUGAUCAUCUGUGAAGAAGGAGAACUGUCUGACUGAGGCUGACAAUUCUGCUUGUCUGGCUGAUGUUCAAGUAUACUGGGCAGGGGGUCUUUGUGGGCUGGGGGGCCUGGAGCAGUGACCUCUGGAAGAAUUGGCGGCACACCGUUCAUCUUAUCAUUCAGCAAAAUUCCAGUAUAAUCUUUGACAGACACAUCAAAGUUCUUACAAUUAAUAUAAGGUGUCACGUGAGGUUGCUUACUACUGCAUUCAAAAUACCCGUAGGGAACUGAAAAAUCUUGUUGAAUAUUAGUCACUGCUGUUAUUCCAGGCUUAUGUGCUAACGAUGAAUAAGGAUGUAAACUAUCCACCUUAAAAGGGGGGGAAGCCGUAUACUGUUUUAAUAGGGAGCAAUUUUUCGUAGUGUUUGAAGUAUGUUUCAUGGCACAGAGGUGAUCAGAAGUCUCCGUUUU